AGGUUUGUUCAACUUCUUUAGCAAAGUACCCUCCUGCCUGGGGGGUUGAAGAAAGAAGGCUUUUGAGCACUUUCACUUGCAGGCAUUAAACUUGCCUAUUAUGACUCUGCCAACCAGGGAGCAUGAGUGAAGCAAUGCGUGUAGCUGGCGAGGGACGGCUUCGUGGACACCCCCAGCUGUCGAGGCUGCUGUCUGCCUGGCUCCCAGAGAACACAGUCCCCACAGCACUCAGGAGCACUGGUGCACAAGCCAUGGGCAGGAG